UUCAGAAUCAUCUGUCCCAACUCUUUCAUUUAAUUUUGCAGUGUGGAGUAAAUGAAGACCAACCAAAAGAGAUCAAGCAAAGCUAUUUAUUCAGAGCUUGUUAUAGAAAGAGAGUCAGCCACCAUGACACAUUUCUGCAGAGACUCUAAGAGUUGGACACAACUGAGCAACUGAAUGACAAAAGCCUGCAGAAGUAGGAAAUCGUUACAGGAGAAAACAAGGAACUUGUCAGGAACUUAUUCUGCUUAUUGAGGAGACAAGGUUCAGAUGCCUAGAAGAAUGAAGUUCAAUAAAGAUGUUAUAGAGGUAAGUGGCACCAGGAAAUUAAUAGCUUGGAAGGAAGGCUCAUCACUUUCCUCUCCAGGCAGAGCUACUGCUACAGCCAGAGCCUCUACUGACCAAGAGCUCCCUAUAUACUGGGCAUUCCAACCAGCUAGCAAAGCGAAGUGGUUAAAUGCAUGGUUCACUAGGCUGCCAUCUGUCUUCAUAUUUUACUUUCAGAAAUAUUUGCUGUGAACUUGAACAACUUGAACAAGAGAUUUUACCUUUCUGGUCUUUAGUUUCCUCAUCCAUAAAAUGGGAAUAACAGCAGCACCUAUCUCAUCAUGCUUUUGUGCAAAUUAAAUGAAUGGACACUCGUAACACACU